AACGAACGCUGGCGGCAGGCUUAACACAUGCAAGUCGAACGCCCCGCAAGGGGAGUGGCAGACGGGUGAGUAACGCGUGGGAACGUACCUUUCAGUUCGGAAUAACUCAGGGAAACUUGUGCUAAUACCGGAUACGCCCGCAAGGGGGAAAGAUUUAUCGCUGAAAGAUCGGCCCGCGUUGGAUUAGCUAAGUUGGUGGGGUAAAGGCCUACCAAGGCGACGAUCCAUAGCUGGUCUGAGAGGAUGAUCAGCCACACUGGGACUGAGACACGGCCCAGACUCCUACGGGAGGCAGCAGUGGGGAAUAUUGGACAAUGGGCGCAAGCCUGAUCCAGCCAUGCCGCGUGUGUGAUGAAGGCCUUAGGGUUGUAAAGCACUUUUCACCGAUGAAGAUAAUGACGGUAGUCGGAGAAGAAGCCCCGGCUAACUUCGUG
rnacentral:rRNA from 1 species